rnacentral:tRNA from 1 species
UCCUGUGUGGCUCAGUUGGUAGAGCAUGGUGUUUGCAACGCCAGGGUUGUGGGUUUGUUUCCCAGUAUGGGAA